UACAGAGGGUGCAAGCGUUAAUCGGAAUUACUGGGCGUAAAGCGCGCGUAGGUGGUUCGUUAAGUUGGAUGUGAAAUCCCCGGGCUCAACCUGGGAACUGCAUUCAAAACUGUCGAGCUAGAGUAUGGUAGAGGGUGGUGGAAUUUCCUGUGUAGCGGUGAAAUGCGUAGAUAUAGGAAGGAACACCAGUGGCGAAGGCGACCACCUGGACUAAUACUGACACUGAGGUGCGAAAGCGUGGGGAGCAAACAGGA
rnacentral:rRNA from 1 species